ACGAAGAGGAACUUCGUCCUGUAUAUCUUAAGAUCGAGCACAGCCCUGCUAUCCCCUUGCUAAGGAAAGGUGAUGACAUGUGUCUUCCUCUGCACCUCGCUGAUGUCGAGGUUAGUCGUGCAGGGUUGCAACGUGCGAAAGAGCAACUGAUGGGCAAGCGAGCGUGGUUCACCCUCAUCUCCCACGACGCGGAUGCCAACACUCUCGUUUCCAUUGUCAAGCCCGUAAAG